UGAGUAACCUGCCCUGGACUUUGGGAUAACCCUCGGAAACGGGGGCUAAUACCGGAUAUGACGGCUCACCGCGUGGUGUGGUUAUGGAAAGUUUUUCGGUCUGGGAUGGGCUCGCGGCCUAUCAGCUUGUUGGCGGGGUGAUGGCCUACCAAGGCGACGACGGGUAGCCGGCCUGAGAGGGCGACCGGCCACACUGGGACUGAGACACGGCCCAGACUCCUACGGGAGGUA
rnacentral:rRNA from 1 species